CGGCGAGCAGGGGAGGCUGUAGCUCAUUUUGCUGCGCAUCUUAGCGGCUCCUCCAAAAGUUUUCUAAUACACUUGGCUCCUAUAGUCAAACAAGUGAUU